rnacentral:sRNA from 1 species
AUAUCUUUCUGUACGGGAAGGAUGAGAAGCUUCGACUAAGGUUCGAUUCGAGCGCAGCGAGAAAGCGUUGCCGCAGGCAACGACCCGAAGGGCGA